rnacentral:rRNA from 1 species
UGUUUGAUGUUCUAACGUGGACCCGUGAUCCGGGUUGCGGACAGUGUCUGGUGGGUAGUUUGACUGGGGCGGUCUCCUCCUAAAGAGUAACGGAGGAGCACGAAGGUUGGCUAAUCCUGGUCGGACAUCAGGAGGUUAGUGCAAUGGCAUAAGCCAGCUUGACUGCGAGCGUGACGGCGCGAGCAGGUGCGAAAGCAGGUCAUAGUGAUCCGGUGGUUCUGAAUGGAAGGGCCAUCGCUCAACGGAUAAAAGGUACUCCGGGGAUAACAGGCUGAUACCGCCCAAGAGUUCAUAUCGACGGCGGUGUUUGGCACCUCGAUGUCGGCUCAUCACAUCCUGGGGCUGAAGUAGGUCCCAAGGGUAUGGCUGUUCGCCAUUUAAAGUGGUACGCGAGCUGGGUUUAGAACGUCGUGAGACAGUUCGGUCCCUAUCUGCCGUGGGCGCUGGAGAACUGAGGGGGGCUGCUCCUAGUACGAGAGGACCGGAGUGGACGCAUCACUGGUGUUCGGGUUGUCAUGCCAAUGGCACUGCCCGGUAGCUAAAUGCGGAAGAGAUAAGUGCUGAAAGCAU